UACGGGGGGGGCAAGCGUUGUCCGGAAUUAUUGGGCGUAAAGAGCUCGUAGGCGGCUUGUCACGUCGGGUGUGAAAGCCCGGGGCUUAACCCCGGGUCUGCAUUCGAUACGGGCUGGCUAGAGUGUGGUAGGGGAGAUCGGAAUUCCUGGUGUAGCGGUGAAAUGCGCAGAUAUCAGGAGGAACACCAAUAGCGAAGGCAGCUCGCUGGGACGGUAUCGACGCUAAGGCGCGAAAGCGUGGGGAGCAAACAGG
rnacentral:rRNA from 1 species